rnacentral:rRNA from 1 species
AGUGAACGCUAGCGGCGCGCCUAACACAUGCAAGUUGAGUGCCUUUAAAAGCACAGCAAACGGCUGCGUAACACGUUGGAACCUGCCCCGAACUCAGGGAUAACCCGCCGAAAGGCGGGCUAAUACCGGAUAGUCCCGAAAGGGUAAAGAUUUAUCGGUUCGGGAGGGGCCUGCGGCCUAUCAGCUAGUUGGUGAGGUAACGGCUCACCAAGGCAAUGACGGGUAACUGGUCUGAGAGGACGACCAGUCA